rnacentral:rRNA from 1 species
GGCAUGCUUUACACAUGCAAGUCGAACGGUAACAGGCCGCAAGGUGCUGACGAGUGGCGAACGGGUGAGUAAUGCAUCGGAACGUGCCCAGUCGUGGGGGAUAACGCAGCGAAAGCUGCGCUAAUACCGCAUACGAUCUAUGGAUGAAAGCGGGGGACCGUAAGGCCUCGCGCGAUUGGAGCGGCCGAUGUCAGAUUAGGUAGUUGGUGGGGUAAAGGCUCACCAAGCCAACGAUCUGUAGCUGGUCUGAGAGGACGACCAGCCACACUGGGACUGAGACACGGCCCAGACUCCUACGGGAGGCAGCAGUGGGGAAUUUUGGACAAUGGGCGCAAGCCUGAUCCAGCAAUGCCGCGUGCAGGAAGAAGGCCUUCGGGUUGUAAACUGCUUUUGUACGGAACGAAACGGCUCUGGUUAAUACCUGGGGCUAAUGACGGUACCGUAAGAAUAAGCACCGGCUAACUACGUGCCAGCAGCCGCGGUAAUACGUAGGGUGCAAGCGUUAAUCGGAAUUACUGGGCGUAAAGCGUGCGCAGGCGGUUUUGUAAGACAGGCGUGAAAUCCCCGGGCUCAACCUGGGAAUGGCGCUUGUGACUGCAAAGCUGGAGUGCGGCAGAGGGGGAUGGAA